rnacentral:rRNA from 1 species
UACGGAGGAUCCAAGCGUUAUCCGGAAUCAUUGGGUUUAAAGGGUCCGUAGGCGGCCUUAUAAGUCAGUGGUGAAAUCUCACGGCUCAACCGUGAAAUGGCCAUUGAUACUGUAGGGCUUGAAUUACUGUGAAGUAACUAGAAUAUGUAGUGUAGCGGUGAAAUGCUUAGAUAUUACAUGGAAUACCAAUUGCGAAGGCAGGUUACUAACAUUAUAUUGACGCUGAUGGACGAAAGCGUGGGUAGCGAACAGG